rnacentral:rRNA from 1 species
UACGUAGGAGGCAAGCGUUGUCCGGAAUUACUGGGCGUAAAGCGCGUGUAGGUGGUGGGACAAGUCUGCUGUGAAAGCGCCUGGCUUAACCGGGCGAGGUCGGCGGAAACUGUCCGACUAGAGGACGGUAGAGGGGGGUGGAAUUCCCGGUGUAGUGGUGAAAUGCGUAGAGAUCGGGAGGAACACCUGUGGCGAAGGCGGCCCCCUGGCCGGCCCUGACACUGAGACGCGAAGGCGUGGGGAGCGAACGGGG